rnacentral:rRNA from 1 species
CGUAGGUGGCAAGCGUUGUCCGGAUUUAUUGGGUUUAAAGGGUGCGUAGGCGGCUUUGUAAGUCAGUGGUGAAAUAUGGCAGCUUAACUGUCAGGGUGCCAUUGAUACUGCGGAGCUUGAGUACAGAUGAGGUAGGCGGAAUUGACGGUGUAGCGGUGAAAUGCUUAGAUAUCGUCAAGAACACCGAUAGCGAAGGCAGCUUACUGGGCUGUAACUGACGCUGAGGCACGAAAGUGUGGGGAUCAAACAGGAUUAGAUACCCUGGUAGUCCACACUGUAAACGUUGAUGACUCGCUGUUGGCGAUACACGGCCAGCGGCAGAGAGAAAUCGUUAAGUCAUCCACCUGGGGAGUACGCCGGCAACGGUG